CCAGACUCCUACGGGAGGCAGCAGUGGGGAAUAUUGCACAAUGGGGGAAACCCUGAUGCAGCGACGCCGCGUGAGCGAAGAAGUAUUUCGGUGUGUAAAGCUCUAUCAGCAGGGAAGAAAAUGACGGUACCUGAGUAAGAAGCUCCGGCUAAAUACGUGCCAGCAGCCGCGGUAAUACGUAUGGAGCAAGCGUUAUCCGGAUUUACUGGGUGUAAAGGGAGCGCAGGCGGUCUGGCAAGUCUGAUGUGAAAUACCGGGGCUCAACUCCGGGACUGCAUUGGAAACUGUCAGACUGGAGUGUCGGAGAGGCAGGCGGAAUUCCUGGUGUAGCGGUGAAAUGCGUAGAUAUCAGGAGGAACACCAGUGGCGAAGGCGGCCUGCUGGGCGAUGACUGACGCUGAGGCUCGAAAGCGUGGGGAGCAAACAGGAUUAGAUACCCCGGUAAG
rnacentral:rRNA from 1 species